rnacentral:rRNA from 1 species
GACGAACGCUGGCGGCGUGCUUAACACAUGCAAGUCGAACGAAGAGCGAGGGAAGCUUGCUUCUAUCAAUCUUAGUGGCGAACGGGUGAGUAACGCGUAAUCAACCUGCCCUUCAGAGGGGGACAACAGUUGGAGACGACUGCAAAUACCGCACACGACCUAAACCAGGCAUCGAGGAGGGAUGAAAGGUGGCCUCUACAUGUAAGCUAUCACUGCAGGAGGGUAUUGCGUCGGAUUAGCAAGGUUGGAGGGUAACGGCCCACCAAAGCGAGGCUCAGUAGCCGGUCCGAGGGGAGGGACGGCCACAUUGGGACUGGGAAUAGGCCCAGACCUCUUACGGGAGGCGCCGGGGGGGAACUUCCGGCAUUGGCGGAAGGCCGGAGGAGGCACGCCGCGUGAGUUAUGACGGCCUUCGGGUUGGUAAGAUCUGUUUAUUGGGGAGAAAGGCCGUCUUGCGAAUAGUGAGAAGGAUUGACGGUACCGGACGAGAAAGCCACGGCUAACUACGUG